UCUCCAUUCUGCAGUUUCUCCAUAACGCCAUCCUCCAGAUCACCAUUAGAGCUGGCAUAGUGCUCUGUGGGGAAGUGACUGUGGCCGUGGCCAUGUGCUCCCUAUUCAGACAAAAGGAGGGAGAGACAAGGAAUAAAGACUCCAUUAAUGCACAGCCCAGAAGUGUUUCAGCCCCCUAAGAAAUCAACCAAACACACAAAAUGAACAACACCCAUGGAGCAGAGCAAGGAAAAAUUGUGACUGGGAAGUCUCAAUGACAAUGUCAAUAAAGAGGAACUGAGGGAGGCGGCUUCCUGGUAGAACAAAUGAUGUCUUAAAAGAUGAAAAUCUUUAAAACCUGAGGGCAUGACAGAACACCCUCCACCACAUCCUCUCUCUGCCCAUCCAUCCCAAAAUGUCCCAGA